rnacentral:rRNA from 1 species
CCUCGGAUCAGGUAUGGAUACCCGCUGAACUUAAGCAUAUCAAUAA